rnacentral:ncRNA from 1 species
AUAAAGUUUUAUUCUUGCUUGAUUAUUUGUUUUAUGUUUGCUUUAUAUGUAAAAUUUUAUGUGUUGAAUUUUGGUGUCUUGAAGACUUAGAAUUUUAUUUAUUCGCAGUAAUUGAUUUUUAAUAAUUAGGUAUUCCUUGAAUUAGCUUUUAUAAUAAUAUUGGCAAAUGUCGUGCCAGCUGCCGCGGUUAUACGAUUUAAUGUAAACAAAUUUUUUUAGUUUUAGUUACUUGUAUUGAUUAGGAUUAAAUAUUUAAUUUGUUAGGUAGAAUUUUUAAUUAUAUUAAUUUCUUGGUGAAGAUGGGGAAGCUGUGAAAUUUAAUUUUUAGACUAGGAUUAGAUACCCUAUUAUUUUAAACGUAAUUAAUAAUACUUGGGUAGUAUUAGGUGUUUCUUGAAACUCAAAGAAUUUGGCGGUAUUUUAGUCCUUUCAGAGGAAUCUGUUUUUUUAUCGAUAUUCCACGUUAUAUCUUGCUUUAUUUUGUUAUUCAGUAUGUAUACCGCCGUUAUCAGAAUGUUUUUUUAGAAUAAUAAUUUUCUUUAUUUUUUAUUAUGAGUAAUUUCAGGUCAAGGUGCAGUUUAUAGUAAAGUUGAAAUGGAUUACAAUAAAAUUUAUUUAUAAUGGAUUUUUAUAUGAAAUUGUAGUUUGAAAGUGAAUUUGAUAGUAAUUUAUUAUAUAAUAUUUAUUUGAUUUUGGCUCUAAAAUAUGUACACAUCGCCCGUCGCUCUCAUUUUAAGGUGAGAUAAGUCGUAACAUAGUAGAUGUACUGGAAAGUGUAUCUAGAAGUAAUAGU